rnacentral:rRNA from 1 species
GUCUUCCUACGGGGCGCAGCAGUGGGGAAUAUUGCACAAUGGGGGAAACCCUGAUGCAGCGACGCCGCGUGAGUGAAGAAGUAUUUCGGUAUGUAAAGCUCUAUCAGCAGGGAAGAAAUAGCGACCUUUGGGUCGCCAGACGGUACCUGACUAAGAAGCCCCGGCUAACUACGUGCCAGCAGCCGCGGUAAUACGUAGGGGGCAAGCGUUAUCCGGAUUUACUGGGUGUAAAGGGAGCGUAGACGGCAGCACAAGUCUGAAGUGAAAUGCCGGGGCUUAACCCCGGCACUGCUUU